GCCGGGGUGACAGAGAGGCCAUGUGGCGGACUGCAGAUCCGCAGACAGGAGUUCAAAUCUCCUUCCCGGCC
rnacentral:tRNA from 1 species